rnacentral:lncRNA from 14 species
CCUGGGUGAGGGGAUCGCUUGACAUUGUAGUUCUGUUGCAGCAAAGACAAAAAGCUUUCCCUGUGUUGAGGCCAGGUGAGGUACGUUUGCUGUUUCUUGAGGAUAAGCAUCCCAUCAUGCUUGUACAGCUGCAGUCUUCCUCAACCUGGCUGAAAACAGGCUGCUCUCCUGCUCCUCUCAGCCGCCGUGGCUUCUCCCCCAGCUGAUGGCCCUGGCCAGCACCAAGCAGCACUGAGAGAAAAGGCAGUGACUAGAAAGAGGCAGUGACUGUGGAAGAAAGAAAGUUGAAGUGGAUAAAUAGUAAGGAUUUCCUCAGGAUUGUGAAUGCAGGUGCCCAAAGCUACCUACCAGCCCUUUGCAGAGGGGAAGGGGAUGUGGGAAGGCUGCAGCUCAUCUGACUAUGCCCCUGUGGUCUCCCCAGGUCCUGCCAUUGGGUCCUACAUCUGGGCAGCAUCUCCUGGCUGGGUGCUGCAGAGCCCACCUUGGGACCUCACAUCUUGCCCCCUGAUGGGUUCAUCCGCAGCAGGAAAUGGCUCGUGUCUCAGCCUGCAAGGGAUAGGUCAGCAGCCCCAAAAGCACUUUGGUAGAAGCAGUGGGGAGGACUCCAGGUCCAGGAGGGCAGCACUUGUCAGGCUUGCUCUUGCUUUGUGGCAGCAGCUUUUGAGGCAGCACAAUGUACCACAACACAGAGGAGUGAUAAAAGUCCUGUUGACUGCAGAGCAGGAGCUUAGAGAUGUCUCUGUGGUGGCAGCAGAGCAGAGGUUUGGGCAGCACUCCUGAGGGAUGGAGGUGCUGGUGCCUGCAGGGGCAUGAUGGAUCCAGGAUGUCAGGAUCUCUGCGGAUGCUCCUGCAGCGACAGUUCACGCCUGUGUGUGCUGCAGGAAUUGCUUG